GAGGUGCCAGAGGUGCAACUUUACAGCUAGACUGCAAGACAUGUGGCAGAGACUUUCUGAAAUCUAUGCCUCGUUUUUAGCACAGACUACUUCUCAAUUAUAUUAAUUCGGCCGGACAACAGCGCAAGGCCUUAGAAGCUAAAAGCACUUGAUUGAGCAGAAUUUAGCCUCAACUCCGUUCAAAGUUGUGGUCAGGACCACGCGGGGCCGGACAUGACUGGAGCUGGGAGUGGCGGCCAGGGCCCGUCUGAUGGGUCCGACGGCGAGGAGCCAGAGAAGUGUCCAGUGUGCCUGGGGGCCGUCGCCGGAGCAGAGCUGGCCAUGCCAGACAGCUGCUGCCAUGUUUUCUGCCUGAGAUGCCUCCUCACAUGGGCACAGAUGUCUCCCUCCUGCCCUGUGGACCGAAGACCAUUCUCUAAUGUUUACAGAUGGGAUGGCGACGUCGGCCUGGUGCAGGUACAUCUGC